rnacentral:rRNA from 1 species
UAAGACGGAGGAGGCAAGCGUUGUCCGGAAUCAUUGGGCGUAAAGAGCGCGUAGGCGGUUUUUCAAGUCGUAUGUGAAAACUUCAGGCUUAACCUGAUGAUUGCAUAUGAAACUGGAUAACUUGAGUACAGCAGAGGAAAGUGGAAUUCCUGGUGUAGCGGUGAAAUGUGCAGAUAUCAGGAAGAACACCGGUAGCGAAGGCGGCUUUCUGGGCUGUUACUGACGCUGAGGCGCGAAAGCUAGGGGAGCAAACAGGAUUAGAUACCCUGGUAGUCCUAGCCGUAAACGAUGGACACUAGGUGUGGGAAGUUAUCGACGCUUUCUGUGCCGAAGCUAACGCAUUAAGUGUCCCGCCUGGGGAGUACGGCCGCAAGGCUA